rnacentral:rRNA from 1 species
UACGUAGGGUGCAAGCGUUAAUCGGAAUUACUGGGCGUAAAGCGUGCGCAGGCGGUGAUGUAAGACAGAUGUGAAAUCCCCGGGCUCAACCUGGGAACUGCAUUUGUGACUGCAUCGCUGGAGUGCGGCAGAGGGGGAUGGAAUUCCGCGUGUUGCAGUGAAAUGCGUAGAUAUGCGGAGGAACACCGAUGGCGAAGGCAAUCCCCUGGGCCUGCACUGACGCUCACGCACGAAAGCGUGGGGAGCAAACAGG